rnacentral:rRNA from 1 species
GAUGAACGCUAGCGGCAGGCCUAAUACAUGCAAGUCGAACGGUGUCUUCGGACAUAGUGGCGCACGGGUGCGUAACACGUAUGCAACCUACCUUACAUUGGGGGAUAGCCUUUCGAAAGGGAGAUUAAUACCGCAUAAGACAGUAGCUGGGCAUCCAGCAGCUGUUAAAGAUUUAUCGAUGUAAGAUGGGCAUGCGUCCAAUUAGUUAGUUGGCGAGGUAACGGCUCACCAAGACUUUGAUUGGUAGGGGAACUGAGAGGUCAAUCCCCCACACUAGCACUGAGAUACGGGCCAGACUCCUACGGGAGGCAGCAGUAGGGAAUAUUGGGCAAUGGACGCAAGUCUGACCCAGCCAUGCCGCGUGCAGGACGAAGGCGUUAUGCGUUGUAAACUGCUUUUAUACAGGAAGAAACGACUCUUGCGAGAGGCAUUGACGGUACUGUAUGAAUAAGCACCGGCUAACUCCGUGCCAGCCGCCGCGGUAAGAC